rnacentral:lncRNA from 1 species
CUAGGUCUUCUAUAUUAGGAGAAAGAUUCAACAUACUAGGUUUCCUAUCUUAGAAGAAAAAUUUGUCAAACUAAGAUUUUUAUUGGGAGAAAAAUCCAUCAGACUAGGAUUUUUAUCCCAGGAGACAAAAUGUGACGACCCAAUGGUAAAAUUUAUGCACACGAGCAAAAUAGAAAAAGAUAAUGAUUUGAGAAACUUCCCUUUGUGGCUUUUUUUUUUGGAAUUACUUUCCUUGUACUACUUUUUUCUAUUUCAUACAAAGAAAAAUUUGUCAGUUUUAAAAAUGGUGGUCAGUUUGUGGCCUUGAGUCUUGAGCAGCUUGGCUUUUGCUCAAUCAACCUGACUCUGUCUCAAGAGACUUCUGUUCUGCACCAACUCUGAUUGUUUCACACCCAAUACCACUUGUAUUUGCAGUUCAAGCAACCUUAUCCCAACUGGAGAUCUUUGAUUAGGUGAUCUUUUCCGAUAUCUUGAAUGACUUCCGGAUUUUUGAGCAAUUUGUCUCUUAGAGAGAAUCACAAG